GCAUUGUUCGGGCGACUCUCGGAGCGCGCACAGUCGGCUCGCAGCGCGGCACUACAGCGGCCCCGGCCCGGCCCCCGCCCGGCCCCGGCGCAGGCAGUUCAGAUCAAGGAGGUAUGCAAGCAGAGAAUCCCAGCACGGAUCCCUAAACCGAAAUCUACAGGCAUCACCAAGAUUUCCACUAAAGCCCCCACAGUGCCUAUGGAUAAGCCUAUUUACCAAAAUGGCUGUGGGAAGCUACACAUCGUGAGAACUGUCACCUCCAACACCUUCCUCCACGUGGGAGGGAGAAGGUAACUCAUACCAAUGCACUGCCUGGAUACAUUCAUCUACAGAAAUAUGUGGAAAGCUAAAAUUACCACUAUGAAAGGCCAAAGGACCAUCUCUCCAGGAAAUGGUGAAGCAGCUUUGUGGACCUGAUGAAGAUCAUCCCCCAAAAAGCAGCACGUCUACAAUUAUUUUACUUCUAUAUGUGUAUAUGCACACACAAACACUCGCAGGCCUAGACCCACACCCAAAUCUACCCAUUUCCUCAUCCGACAUAUAAUCUAACCCAAAGAUGAACUAUCU
rnacentral:lncRNA from 1 species